AUUACAGGCAUGAGCCACUGUGCCUGGCCUCAAAGGUGCUUUCAAAUUGAUCCCUGCCAUACACCCCACCCUCCACCAGGUAAUCUCAGCCUGGCCCAAGAUCCCCACAUCUAGGGGCAGAAGCAGCCUUGAGAUAUUUACUCAGAGUCCUGGGCCCCAGCCCUGAUCAGGUGGCUGAUGAAGGCAAGCAGAAAAACCAGUUGGUUUGAUGUUUCCACUUGAACAUUCCAGAGAAAGUGGUGGGGGCAGGGGAGGGGUCGUUGCUACCUGGGAAUGGAUCUGGGGGUGGUGUCAUCCUGGGGGCUGCCCAGCCCUCUCAGCUUGUUAGGAACAGGCCAGGAAGCGUGCUGUUGGUUGGCGAAGGCCUCCUUCUAGGGGAGGCCAGAGGGGAGGACUUCCGGAGCCCCUGACAUGUGGAGGUGAAGGUGGGAGGUGAAAUGGACUAUCGCUCUUUGGAGGUCGAGUGUACACUGCCCCAUCCGUGUUCCCAGGCUUCCUGUGAAGUGGGAGGGUGCCGUCCUUAUUCUGCUGAUGAGGAAAGAGAGGCUUGGACGGCGAAGUAACCCAGCUCCAGGUCACUCAGCCAGUGCACAGCCCGGAUUGUUUCCUUCACUGACUCCUAACGCAGUGCUCCGUGUAUUUCAUCACCACCCUUCAGGCCGUGGGGACCAAGGGCCGAAGGGGUGCGGCCUGAGGCGGCCGGGACACUGCGCCUAGGUGGCGCGGUGGCAUUGAAUGGGUUAAGGAGGGGAGGUGGCGGGUGUCCCUUAACUGCACCUGGCCCAGUAUCGGUCACGUGGCCAGGGUUUCACCUGCCCCGCUGAGCAGGGACAAUCAGGCUGCUUGUUUUGUGGCCGGUCGCCAUGGUGACAGCAGCUUGCCAGGGGCGGUCAUGGGGCAAAUUCCUGCUGGCCAGCCGGGUGGGGCAGGAGUGUCAGCUGUGCUGGCACCAGUCGGGGCUUCCCGAAAGACCCCUGGAGCUUUCCCGUGGGGCUGUCCCUGGGGGGCCCCUAUGUGACUCCGCUCGAAACCUCCUCCCAUCUCAACCCCCACAUCAGCCCAGCUUCUCUCCUCCCAGAUUUUGAACCUGAGUUGAUGUAUUAAGCAGCCGGGAUUUUCAUAUACGUUAUUGUGUUUAAUCCUCACACAGCAACCUUUCCCAUGUGGGAAUGGUAAUCCCUGCAGGUCUGCUGCCGGCUGCGCCUCCCCUACUACUCACCCAACACUUUGAGAACACUGGCUCCUUCCUGCCUUGCUUCAACAAGCCCAGAUCCAUUAGAGCCUCUCACUGCACGCCAAGCACCUUCCUAGACGCAGCCGUGAACAAAACAACAAAUUAAUCUCACAACAAAGGAUUAUGUCCGAGUAUUUAUUUUCUUCGGAACAGGUUAGGUUGGCCCCAGUCAUCCAGAGAAGGUGGGGACGGUACAGGAUCAGGCCAGGGCUCUGGUAUCCAGAACAUCUCCACAAGCUCUCUCUGCCACCUCCCUGCCUCACCCGCACCUGCUGCCCACCAAGCCUUCCCACGGAUUGUCCACAGAUUCCCACCAGCCCCACAGAUUCUCCUGCUUCCAGUCAUUGCUCCCUCUGCUCCCUAACCUCCAACAGGCCCUGCUGACAGUAACAGUUGUCAAUUUUUUUUUUUGAGAUGGAGUCUCGCUCUGUCACCCAGGCUGGAGUGCAGUGGCACGAUCUUGGCUCACUGCAACCUCCACCUCCCAGGUUCAAGCGAUUCUCCUGCCUUAGUCUUCAGAGUAGCUGGGAUUACCGGCACGCACCACCACGCC
rnacentral:lncRNA from 10 species